AAUUUCUGAUGCUUUAAUGAAAGAACAAUGUACUUCACGUGUUCAAAUGUUCAGCAUUCAAUUGACCAGCUUUUGGCAGGAGUGUCAAAUAUAGAUAGUUGAAUGUGAUUCUUUAUUUGUUGUCGUAGUCCUUGUAGGAGUGCAAUUGUAGUUGGCUUGCUGGUGACGAAUCCCUUACUUUUACUGUUGAUAAAACUUAUGUGACUAAAGUGAAAUCUUUCUUUUUGCAAUGGAAGGCAAGGUCGAGUAAUAAACUUAUUGUUUUGGACUUCAACAUAAGGUCGAGUAAUAAACUUAUUGUUUUGGACUUCAACAUAAGGUCGAGUAAUAAACUUAUUGUUUUGGACUUCAACAUAAGGUCGAGUAAUAAACUUAUUGUUUUGGACUUCAACAUAA